GAUGAAGAACGUAGCUAAAUGCGAUAAGUAAUGUGAAUUGCAGAAUUCAGUGAACCAUCGAAUCUUUGAACGCACAUUGCGCCCGGCAGUAAUCUGCCGGGCAUGCCUGUCCGAGCGUCAUUUCUGCCCUCGAGCGAGUCCAGCAUCUAGGUGCUGGGCCCGCCCGGCGUUGGGGCACUACGGGAAGCCCUGUGCUGUCCCCCGUAGGCCCCGAAAUGAAGUGGCGGUCCUGCCGCGGCGCCCCCUGCGUAGUAUAACAGCUCGCUUCGGGACCCGGUGGAGGCCUGCCGUCAAACCUUACUCUCUAAGUUUGACCUCGGAUCAGGUAGGGUUACCCGCUGAACUUAAGCAUAUCAUAAGCGGAGGA
rnacentral:misc_RNA from 1 species